GCUCGAGGGUUUUGCCAAUCCAGCUUUAAUAGUGUAUGGUGUACAUGUUGAGCUUGUUUGGUCUCAAGCUACUUCUGGCAGUUAUAUACAAUACAGGCUAUUAUGUAUUAGCGGUAUAUAUGGUGAGAAUCCAUCAGACCAUUUGAAGGAAGACGAUAAUCUCUCAAAUCAAUGUGGUGUAGGCUCUUUAAAACGGAAAAUUUAUGGUGGUAUUUUGGAUAUAAACAGCUUAAAGAUGCUCAAGAGAAAAGAGAUGUAUUUUUUGUCCUCUGUUUUCUGAUUCAUAACACUAAGCCAGUUGGCCACCAGGAUCUUGUUGGGCUGGUCAUCUCAAUGCUGUUACUUAGAGAUUUUAGCUUAGUGCUGCUUACAUUCCUCCAGUUGUAUUCAGUAUCUCUCUUCAUUGUCACUUUUUUUUAUUAAUAAAUUUAUUAGUCUAGGAUACAUUGGCUAGGAAUAAUUUCUAUGUAUUUGUGCUA